CACAGGAGAACCUUGUUCAAACUGACAGCUGUAUUUUGUAUUCUGCUGUCAGCUGUGUUACAGUACAGUAAAGCUGAUUGAAGGAAUCUGCUCAUUUGGGCAUAAGCUGAGUUGUUUGAGGGAAAUAUCGGCUUUUGCUACCUGCUUUACAAUAUGUAACUAUGUAAAUUGUCAAAAAAAAUAUGACUGCAGUACACACAGGA